UUUCGCCUAACCACAACCAGACCUACAUAGCCCUUAAAGUCCAGCCGGUUAGGUCAAGUAGAAUGCGUUGAGCUCCCUCAGUAUCAGAGCUUGUGUGGGGAACUCUUCACUUUUGGCCUAACCAAAACCAGACCUUCCUAGCCUUCAAAACCCAACCGGUUAGGUGAAGUAGAAUGCAUUGAGCUCCCUCAGUAUCAGAGCUUGUGUGGGGAACUCUUCACUUUUCGCCUAACCAAAACCAUACUUGCCUAGCCCUUAGAAUCCAGCCGGUUAGGUCAAGUAGAAUGCGUUGAGCUCCCUCAGUAUCAGAGCUUGUGUGGGGAACUCUUCACUUUUGGCCUAACCAAAACCAGACUUGCCUAGCCCUUAGAGUCCAACCGGUUAGGUCAAGUAGAAUGCGUUGAGCUCCCUCAGUAUCAGAGCUUGUGUGGGGAACUCUUCACUUUUCGCUUAACCAAAACCAGACUUGCCUAGCCCUUAGAGUCCAACCGGUUAGGUCAAGUAGAAUGCGUUGAGCUCCCUCAGUAUCAGAGCUUGUGUGGGGAACUCUUCACUUUUCGCUUAACCAAAACCAGACUUGCCUAGCCCUUAGAGUCCAACCGGUUAGGUCAAGUAGAAUGCGUUGAGCUCCCUCAGUAUCAGAGCUUGUGUGGGGAACUCUUCAAUUUUGGCCUAACCAAAACAAGACCUACCUAGCCCAUAAAGUCGAGCCGGUUAGGUCAAUUAGAAUGCGUUGAGCUCCCUCAGUAUCAGAGCUUGUGUGGGGAACUCUUCACUUUUGGCCUAACCAACACCAGA